rnacentral:tRNA from 1 species
GAGGGUAUAGCUCAGUGGUAGAGUGUGUACUUAGCAUGCAUGAAGUCCUGGGUUCAAUCCCCAGUACCUCCA